GACGAACGCUGGCGGCGUGCCUAAUACAUGCAAGUCGAACGCAGUGGGGACGGGUGAGUAACACGUGGGUAACCUCCCCAUCAGAGGGGAGAAAACUUGGAAACAGGUGCUAAACCGAUACUGAUGGAUGAACCCGCGGUGCAUUAACUAGUUGGUGCGGUAACGGCUCACCAAGGCCACGAUGCAUAGCCGACUUCAGAGGGUGAUCGGCCACACUGUGCCUGCGACACGGGCCAGACUCAUACGGGAGGCAGCCGUAGGGAAUCUUCGGCAAUGGACGAAAGUCUGACCGAGCAACGCGGCGUGAAUGAAGAAGGUUUUCGGGUCGUAAAACUCUGUUGUUAGAGAAGCGGUAUCUAACCAGUAAGUCACGGCUAACUACGUGCCAGCAGCCGCGGUAAUAC
rnacentral:rRNA from 1 species